rnacentral:hammerhead_ribozyme from 1 species
AUUCAGCUGACGAGUCCCAAAUAGAACGAAACGUGCGUCCUGGAU